rnacentral:rRNA from 1 species
CAGUCGCCGCGGGAAUACGAAGGGUGCAAGCGUUACUCGGAAUUACUGGGUGUAAAGCGUGCGUAGGUGGUGGUUUAAGUCCGUUGUGAAAGCCCUGGGCUCAACCUGGGAAUUGCAGUGGAAACUGGGUCACUAGAGUGUGGUAGAGGAUAGUGGAAUUUCCGGUGUAGCAGUGAAAUGCGUAGAGAUCGGAAGGAACAUCUGUGGCGAAGGCGACUAUCUGGGCCAACACUGACACUGAGGCACGAAAGCGUGGGGAGCAAACAGGAUUAGAUACCCCCGUAGUCCCUGUCUCUUAUAC